UACGUAGGGUGCAAGCGUUGUCCGGAAUUAUUGGGCGUAAAGAGCUUGUAGGCGGUUUUGUCGCGUCUGCUGUGAAAUUUUCGGGGCUCAACCCCGAACUUGCAGUGGGUACGGGCAGACUAGAGUGUGGUAGGGGAGACUGGAAUUCCUGGUGUAGCGGUGAAAUGCGCAGAUAUCAGGAGGAACACCGAUGGCGAAGGCAGGUCUCUGGGCCAUAACUGACGCUGAGAAGCGAAAGCAUGGGGAGCGAACAGG
rnacentral:rRNA from 1 species